UACAGCCGCCGCCCCUCCACUCUCCUCUUCUCCAGCGAGAUCGAUGGAGCAGCAAGCUCCACCGGCGAGCAACCAGGCGAGAGCGACAGCAGCACUAUGGAGACGACAUGAACACCAACAACAACAACCAGCAACCGGCGAGAUAGCAAACAACAGCCAGCGAGGAGGACAACCUCCGAUUGGCGAGAGUUCCUCGCGAAGGCAGCAGCUACCGGCGAGAACAACCAGCAGUCGGCGCUGAUCCGUUUCCCUCCGUUCUCCGUUUUCUUUCGAGCUAGUAGUAACUCCGACGAGGAUGACAACAACAACAUCAACCAGCGAAACUCCAUGAGAACGAUAGCUCCGGCCAGCGACUCAGCAAACAAGCAACAUGAAAUAUGAUAAUGGAGUUUACUCAGAGCUCGAUAUUUUGGUUGGUUUUAAGACGGAUCUCAACAGAUCCGUUCAGGCUUUGGAGAUAUUGGAUGCUAUCCUUGUGGCUGGGACUCUUGUCGAUCAAGAAGAAGAAGAUUUGUGGUGGUGGCUAAAAGGCCUUUCCUAGAAGUGAAGAGCUUGGCUUACUAUUCCCAAGUU